UACGUAGGCAGCAAGCGUUGUUCGGAAUUACUGGGCGUAAAGAGUGUGUAGGCGGUUUUCUAAGGCUGGUGUGAAAUCUCCCGGCUUAACUGGGAGGGUGCGGCGGAAACUGGAAUGCUAGAGGAUGGGAGAGGUAAGCGGAAUUCCUGGUGUAGCGGUGAAAUGCGUAGAUAUCAGGAGGAACACCUGUGGUGUAGACAGCUUACUGGACCAUUUCUGACGCUGAGACACGAAAGCGUGGGUAGCAAACAGG
rnacentral:rRNA from 1 species